GAUGAACGCUGGCGGCGUGCCUAAUACAUGCAAGUCGAGCGAACAGACGAGGAGCUUGCUCCUCAGACGUUAGCGGCGGACGGGUGAGUAACACGUGGAUAACCUACCUAUAAGACUGGGAUAAAUUCGGGAAACCGGAGCUAAUACCGGAUAAUAUAUUGAACCGGAUGGUUCAAUCGUGAAAGGCGGUUUUGCUGUCAAUUAUAGAUGGAUCCGCGCCGCAUUAGCUAGUUGGUAAGGUAACGGCUUACCAAGGCAACGAUGCGUAGCCGACCUGAGAGGGUGAUCGGCCACACUGGAACUGAGACACGGUCCAGACUCCUACGGGAGGCAGCAGUAGGGAAUCUUCCGCAAUGGGCGAAAGCCUGACGGAGCAACGCCGCGUGAGUGAUGAAGUUCUUCGGAUCGUAAAACUCUGUUAUUAGGGAAGAACAAAUGUGUAAGUAACUAUGCACGUCUUGACGGUACCUAAUCAGAAAGCCACGGCUAACUACGUG
rnacentral:rRNA from 1 species